UACGUAGGUGACCAGCGUUGUCCGGAUUUACUGGGCGUAAAGAGCGCGCAGGCGGUCGUUCAAGUCGAGUGUGAAAGCCCCCGGCUCAACUGGGGAGGGUCACUCGAUACUGAUCGACUUGAAGGCAGGAGAGGGAAGCGGAAUUCCCGGUGUAGUGGUGAAAUGCGUAGAUAUCGGGAGGAACACCAGUGGCGAAGGCGGCU
rnacentral:rRNA from 1 species